rnacentral:tRNA from 1 species
GGGCCUAUAGCUCAGUUGGUAGAGCUACGGACUUUUAAUCCGCAGGUCUUGGGUUCGAGUCCCAAUGGGCCCACAA